AUUGAACGCUGGCGGCAGGCCUAACACAUGCAAGUCGAGCGAGCGGCGGACGGGUGAGUAAUGUAUGGGGACUGCCCGAUAGAGGGGGAUAAAUACUGGAAACGGUUGCUAAUACCGCAUACUAUCGGAUAACCCAUAUGGGAUUAGCUAGGAGGUGGGGUAAAGGCUCACCUAGGCGACGAUCACUAGCUGGUCUGAGAGGAUGAUCAUCCAAACGGGUACUGAGACACAGCCCAGACUCCUACGGAGGCAGCAGUGGGGAAUAUGGAACAAUGGGCGCAAGCCUGAUUCAGCAAUGCCGCGUGUAUGAAGAAGGCCUUAGGGUUGUAAAGUACUUUCAGCGGGGAGGCUUUACCCGCAGAAGAAGCACCGGCUAACUCCGUGCCAGCCGACGCGGUAAUAC
rnacentral:rRNA from 1 species